rnacentral:rRNA from 1 species
GGGGAGUACGGUCGCAAGAUUAAAACUCAAAGGAAUAGACGGGGACCCGCACAAGUGGUGGAGCAUGUGGUUUAAUUCGAAGAUACGCGAAGAACCUUACCUAGCCUUGACAUAUAUUAGAAUCUUUCAGAGAUGAGAGAGUGCCUUCGGGAGCUUUUAUACAGGUGCUGCACGGCUGUCGUCAGCUCGUGUCGUGAGAUGUUGGGUUAAGUCCCGCAACGAGCGCAACCCUCGUCACUAGUUACUAACGGUUCGGCCGAGGACUCUAGUGAGACUGCCUUCGCAAGGAGGAGGAAGGUGAGGACGACGUCAAGUCAUCAUGGCCCUUACGGCUAGGGCAACACACGUGCUACAAUGGCCAGGACAGUGAGACGCGAUACCGCGAGGUGGAGCAAAUCUAUAAACCUGGUCUCAGUUCGGAUUGUAGUCUGCAACUCGACUACAUGAAGCUGGAAUCACUAGUAAUCGUAGAUCAGCUAUGCUACGGUGAAUACGUUCCCGGGUCUUGUACUCACCGCCCGUCACACCAUGGGAGUUGAUUUCACCCGAAGCGGGGAAGCUAAACUGGCUACCCUCCACGGUGGAAUUAGCGACUGGGGUGAAGUCGUAACAAGGUA